rnacentral:rRNA from 1 species
UACGGAGGGUGCGAGCGUUGUCCGGAAUCAUUGGGCGUAAAGGGCGCGUAGGUGGCCCGGUGAGUCUUUGGUGAAAGCGCGGGGCUCAACCCUGCGUCGGCCAGGGAUACUGCCGCGGCUCGAGCACUGUAGAGGCAGGCGGAAUUCCGGGUGUAGCGGUGGAAUGCGUAGAGAUCGGGAAGAACAUCGGUGGCGAAGGCGGUCUGCUGGGCCGUUGCUGACGCUGAGGCGCGACAGCGUGGGGAGCAAACAGG